CUCGUACCUUAGAGAUUCUCUCUCUCUCACGCGUCGUCUUGUGCAAUUUUAUUUCCUUUCCUUCCGUACAAACUUACUUCACUCAACGCUAGUUAGUGUAGAGACAAAAGACAGACGAAAAUUUCUAGUUUUCCACCUUUGGACUCUUUUCCCGGGGAGUUCUGUCACCGGACCCCGCUGCGAUACGGCUGGGUUCUUAUUCUUGGGUAGGCGUUCGGUGGCCCGAGUAAAGAGCCAGGGGGCCUCCGUUUGCUGCUCCUUGGACUCUUUGGAAACCAAAGUCUCUGACAUGAGUAUAAUGAUUUCCAAUUGGAGCACCAUUACAUGGGAUUUGUGCAUUUUUAUCUACGAAUCAGCUUAAGAUCAGCUUGUCUGAUUGGUUCUUGUCAAAAGGUGGCACACAGAUGAGUAUUCAGAGAAUAGGCUUCCCUACUACGCAGACUCAAGGGUUCUCCAGAUGUUUACUUGUGUGGUCCUAUCAGAAAGUAUAUCACAGACAAAGGGGGCAGGUAUGAUUUGUAGAAUAUGAGAACUUUAUAUGUCUAUUUUGGAAUAAUGAUUCAUUGACUAUUUGAUCCUCCUUGAUUAGCAUCCUCGAGGUUUUGUUUUCUAUGCACAUCCCAAGCUUAAUGGAGUAGGUCACUUUUAUAUCACUUUUGUUCUUCUGAAGUGUCAAACCUAUUAAGAGAAAAGUUGAGGUUGGGUCUUUUCGGUUAGGGGCUUCCUGUGGUAGUACCAUAGCCUAACGGUAUGCAUGCCCCAUCCCUGGGCCAAACAUAAUUGGUCGCAUUUCUGCCACUUUGUUCUUCCAAAGAUGCAAAACUGUUGAGAGCAAAGUUGCAAACUUAUAGUUUUUCACUCAGUGGCUUCCUAUAGUACCAUCUUUGCGUUGUGGUUUGUAUGCCCCCGUCUUUGGGCCAAGCAUAGUCUGUCAUAUUUGUGCCAGUUUGAUCUUCCAAGUUGCAACCCUGUUGGAAGCAAAGAUGCAAACAUUUGAGGUUGGAUCUUUUUGCUCGGGGGCUUCCUAUUGUACAACUAUGGCCUAAUGGUAUGUAUGCAAAGACUCCAGGCAAAAUAGAGUCGGUCACAUUUAUUCCACUUUUCUCUUCCAAAGUUGCAAACCUAUUAAUGAAAACUUACCAACAUUUGAGGUCAGAGUUCUCUCUUGAAAAUCGAGGAUCAUCUAAAGUGGGUGACCGCUGAGUUGGUGAACCAUUCAAUUAAAAAUUUAAGAAAAGAAUUUAAGAAUACCCCCUAAAAUAUUUGAGAAUCUAAACUUGCUUUCUCCUAUAUUAUUGAUUUAUUCCUCUCCUAUGCUAGAACAGAUUCCAUCUUAGGUGGGGAUGUAGACAAAUAUGUGUUUGAUAAAUCCGCCCAUGGAGACACAUAUGUCAUGGGACUUGCAAUGUCAAAGGGCUAUUCUUUUCAUGGCAGCAUAUGAUGUCCGUGGAAUCAAAAGAUUACUUUCGACCCAAUGGAGGGAAUUUGAGAUUUGCAAUAAUAAUUACAAACUAGUAGGAGUGCCUGUUGUCACAGUGCAACUAAGAUACAGUGGUUGGGUCACGGAGUUGCAGGAUCUGCAAUGGUCGAGAUUUCUCUUUCUUUGCAGACCUAGCUCUUGCAUCUCUAGAAGAUUACUACAUUGAGGGACAAGGUUCAUUGCUCCAGUUUUGGCUUUAUUCCCAAAAAUUUCUUCCUUGCUGGCUCAUAUACAAGACGGGUGCCUGGCUGAUGACUGGUUCUGACAAUGUCUCGCAUGGAAGAUGUUAUUUCUAUGUUUACCUAAGGUGUCCAUAAUAUAUUCUGAACAACUCCAUAAGGAGGUGCCAGUGGCUGCACCGAUGAGACCUUACCUCGAAACGAAAUCCAUACGACAUGAGGCAGCUGAUUGUCACAAAAGAGAUGAUUAAAGAAACUUGUAUAUAAGUGUAAUAAUUAGUGGUUCUACCUGCUACGGGAUUACAUAGACAGCAUGGAGGGGCCAACUUUACCUGCAGGUAGGCAAGCAUCUGCAUAUAUAUGUGAUGAGGGGGAAGACUUGGCUUUGCGGAAGAAGCUUGCUGCUAUACAAUCCCAAGAAAAAGCGGAGGCUGCCAACAUUGCUCAUGAGCUGAGUCUAGCAUUUUUCUGAGUCCACCUCAAUUGUGGAGAGUAGGUGGUCGCUUGCGCAGGAAUACGCUUGUUCUUUGUGUGGAAUAUGACGAGAUUAUGUGAAGCAUGAGUCAUUUGUGUGAGGAUCACGCAACCAAACUCGUCCAUACAAUGUUUGCAGCAUGAUUUGUGAAAUCAGAACUUUGAACAUUUAAUUAAAUAAGUGAAGUGUUGAGUUAGGAUUCGAAAUUAUGACUUAUGCUUUGAGAUAAUGUAAAAUUAUCACUUAUUUCAAAAGUUCAAGUCAGGGUGAAUAAGUAUAUUUAAUUAUUUAUAUUUUUCUUAA